UUUCCCUCAGGAUAGCUGGCACUCGCUUGAGCGAGUCUCAUCUGGUAAAGCGAAUGAUUAGAGGCCUUGGGGCCGAAACGACCUCAACCUAUUCUCAAACUUUAAAUGGGUGAGAUCUCUGGCUUGCUUGAACAUUGAAGCCACGAGAUAAAUUCUUAAAAUGGAUCAGAGUGCCAAGUGGGCCAAUUUUGGUAAGCAGAACUGGCGCUGUGGGA
rnacentral:rRNA from 1 species